AUUGAACGCUGGCGGCAGGCCUAACACAUGCAAGUCGAGCGAGCGGCGGACGGGUGAGUAAUGUAUGGGGACUGCCCGAUAGAGGGGGAUAACUCCUGGAAACGGUGGCUAAUACAGCAUACUGUCGGAUAACCCAGAUGGGAUUAGCUAGUAGGUAAGGUAAUGGCAUCCCUAGGCGACGAUCCCUAGCUGGUCUGAGAGGAUGAUCAGCCACACUGGGACUGAGACACGGCCCAGACGCCUACGGAGGCAGCAGUGGGGAAUAUUGCACGAUGGGCGAAAGCCUGAUGCAGCGACGCCGCGUGGUGUAUGAAGGCUGUCGGGUUGUAAACCUCUUUCGCUAUCUAACGGGUAGGUGGAGAAGAAGCGCCGGCUAACUACGUGCCAGCAGCCGCGGUAAUAC
rnacentral:rRNA from 1 species